UACGUAGGUGGCAAGCGUUGUCCGGAAUUAUUGGGCGUAAAGCGCGCGCAGGCGGCCUCCUAAGUCCGAUGUGAAAGCCCACGGCUCAACCGUGGAGGGUCAUUGGAAACUGGAGGGCUUGAGGAUCGGAGAGGGCAGUGGAAUUCCCAGUGUAGCGGUGAAAUGCGUAGAUAUUGGGAGGAACACCAGUGGCGAAGGCGACUGCCUGGACGACACCUGACGCUGAGGCGCGAAAGCUAGGGGAGCAAACGGG
rnacentral:rRNA from 1 species